ensembl:rRNA 5S_rRNA 5S ribosomal RNA
UAUAACGGCCAUCCCACCCUGAAAGCACCCGAUCUCGCCUGACCUUGGAAGCUCAGCAGGGUCGGGCCUGGCUAGUACUUGGGAUGGGAGUUUGAGGUGAUUGUGUUAGCUGUGUAUAG